UUCUAUUGGACAGAAUAAACCUCUGAAAGCGCAUUCCAUUUGCCAUUAGGGCAUAGCAGCUAUGCCACACCAAUGUUGCUACUGGUGGAGGUAUGAAUCUCUUUGACCGGACUUGAAUGGACAUGCGAUUCGGUGCUGCAACUCCCGACUCGGUUAAUGGGGUGGCUCUUCAUCAUUCUCUGCUAGCUUCAGUAUCGGAGUACUUUGUACCAUCCAUUCUGGUGUGAUUGAUUUCUGUUCAAAAUCCUCGUCUUUCUUGAGAGUGAGUUCAUUCCAUUUAUCUUCUUACAUACUUGUAAUCUGGAAGGUAGAUGGUGUGGGAAAGCAAGAAGGAAGAGAGCUAACCAGGGAAAGAACUGAACGAGGAAGACCUGGGCUGUAGACAAGACCGAUAGUAAGACUAGUCAAGCAUCUAUUCUUAUUCAAAGUGAUUUCACUAAUAGGCUAACAGUCUCGAACUUCUAGAAGGAGCGUAGCCACUCGACCAGCCCUUGAACCUAGCCCUCGGAGCGAAAGAGAAUUCAACUUUAGCUUCUGAAGGAAGAAUGUCACUUGGAAUUCCGGAAAGUGAUUCUUCUCUUUCAGAUCCUGGCCUUGGUAGAACUUGUCUUUGAUUGGGAUUUCGAUUGAAAAGAUGUUAGACCGCUUCCUCAUGUGCCUAAGAAGCUGAGGCAAUCUCGUUAGAGAUUGGCCAAUUCAAGUUUGUUUUUCCUACUCCAUUUUUUUUUAUAGAAAUAGCACUCGAUCAAAGGGGAGCAUAAGCAAGUUCAGUGGUUGAAACCUCUGUAAUCGAUCGAUGGGAACCUCGAAGCUGUCUGGGGCAGGAGCAAACUCAUAUUAGGCACUGCCGCAGCAUCAAUGGUACAAGGAAGAGGCACGAUAGCGAAGAUCAAUCCAUCUCAAUCUACAAAAAACAUUGCCUUGGGCAUGCAACCCAAAAAGAUAGAAAGACUGCUCGCUCGAAGAAAACUCUUUUAGAGCCUGGUACAAGCCAAGCCCCUUCGAUUCGGCAACAAGAGUCGGUUAUGGAAUAGUAUUUUGGUCGGCUUUCCCGUUCUUGAGGACUUUCUGGCCGGUAGGCUUUAUAGCGGACCUGCUUUGCUGACAGGGAGGAUAUUAAAUAGAUAGUUGCGCUUGCCUUCACUUAGAAAAUCUACGCCCCCUAUAUAUUCUAUUAAGGCAUGCUCUCGAAACUAGAUUCACUCGUUCUUGUCUCCGGCGAUUAACCUAUUUCAGAGCAGUCUGGUGAUUAGCCUAUCUCGCACUACUCGAAGCCUUCGUAAACUCAUUGAUUGUUGGGUUCUAUCGUAGUGAAGGUUGCUGUGAGGAGAUCCUUGUGCCAGUGAAGAUUGCUUCCAGUGAUCGAGAAAUAAUAAAUACAAAAACCAUUGCUUUAUAUCCAACACUCCGGAUAGGCAGAAGGAUCUAUGUCCAUCCCCAACUUCCUUGCAAUCCACAUCGGAAAAUUUAGGCUUUCUCUACUGGGAGUCAUCAAAGGAGGAAUAGGCAUACGCUGCUUCGAUAAGCCAAGGAAAAACAACCACCGCUUGGUUUUGACACUCAAGCGACCCGCCUUGCCAAACAUCGAUGCAAAGGUUAGAUUUCACCACCUCUAUCUCCAAGCCCCUUGACUAGGUUGGGCAAGCUUGGAUGCCCCUACUCUCAACAAGUUGCUGGUCGAGAUCGUGGAACUCUCGCUCGAGAAGUAAGCUGGUCCUUGUUUGGUCAUAAGGAUAAUCGUUCUUAUUAGGUCAGGGGCGGCCGGUCCGAGGGUUACCCGCGAUUGGUAAUGGCAUAACCAGAAGAGGGGUAGGGGAGACAAAGUUACGCGCUGGGUAGCGCAUCUGUUUCGGGUACAGAGGCGACGAGGGGUGCUAACCCGGCCACCCAACCCAGCAGGUCAGGGGCGGGCCGGGCCGGCCAUAGGUUCGAAUCCUGCCACCUUU
rnacentral:lncRNA from 1 species